CACAUGCAGUCGAGGGGCAGCAUGAACUUAGCUUGCUAAGUUUGAUGGCGACCGGCGCACGGGUGAGUAACACGUAUCCAACCUGCCGAUGACUCGGGGAUAGCCUUUCGAAAGAAAGAUUAAUACCCGAUGGCAUAGUUCUUCCGCAUGGUAGAACUAUUAAAGAAUUUCGGUCAUCGAUGGGGAUGCGUUCCAUUAGGUUGUUGGCGGGGUAACGGCCCACCAAGCCUUCGAUGGAUAGGGGUUCUGAGAGGAAGGUCCCCCACAUUGGAACUGAGACACGGUCCAAACUCCUACGGGAGGCAGCAGUGAGGAAUAUUGGUCAAUGGACGAGAGUCUGAACCAGCCAAGUAGCGUGAAGGAUGACUGCCCUAUGGGUUGUAAACUUCUUUUAUACGGGAAUAAAGUGAGGCACGUGUGCCUUUUUGUAUGUACCGUAUGAAUAAGGAUCGGCUAACUCCGUGCCAGCAGCCGCGGUAAUACGGAGGAUCCGAGCGUUAUCCGGAUUUAUUGGGUUUAAAGGGAGCGUAGGCGGACGCUUAAGUCAGUUGUGAAAGUUUGCGGCUCAACCGUAAUAUUGCAGUUGAUACUGGGUGUCUUGAGUACAGUAGAGGCAGGCGGAAUUCGUGGUGUAGCGGUGAAAUGCUUAGAUAUCACGAAGAACUCCGAUUGCGAAGGCAGCUUGCUGGACUGUAACUGACGCUGAUGCUCGAAAGUGUGGGUAUCAAACAGGAUUAGAUACCCUGGUAGUCCACACAGUAAACGAUGAAUACUCGCUGUUUGCGAUAUACAGUAAGUGGCCAAGCGAAAGCGUUAAGUAUUCCACCUGGGGAGUACGCCGGCAACGGUGAAACUCAAAGGAAUUGACGGGGGCCCGCACAAGCGGAGGAACAUGUGGUUUAAUUCGAUGAUACGCUAGGAACCUUACCCGG
rnacentral:rRNA from 1 species